rnacentral:rRNA from 1 species
AGUGAACGCUGGCGGUAGGCCUAACACAUGCAAGUCGAACGGCAGCACAGUAAGAGCUUGCUCUUACGGGUGGCGAGUGGCGGACGGGUGAGGAAUACAUCGGAAUCUACUUUUUCGUGGGGGAUAACGUAGGGAAACUUACGCUAAUACCGCAUACGACCUACGGGUGAAAGCAGGGGAUCUUCGGACCUUGCGCGAUUGAAUGAGCCGAUGUCGGAUUAGCUAGUUGGCGGGGUAAAGGCCCACCAAGGCGACGAUCCGUAGCUGGUCUGAGAGGAUGGUCAGCCACACUGGAACUGAGACACGGUCCAGACUCCUACGGGAGGCAGCAGUGGGGAAUAUUGGACAAUGGGCGCAAGCCUGAUCCAGCCAUACCGCGUGGGUGAAGAAGGCCUUCGGGUUGUAAAGCCCUUUUGUUGGGAAAGAAAAGCAGCAGGUUAAUACCCCGCUGUUCUGGCGGUACCCAAAGAAUAAGCACCGGCUAACUUCGUG